rnacentral:rRNA from 1 species
CUGAUCAGCAUGCCGCGUGAGUGAUGGAAGGCCUUAGGGUUGUAAAGCUCUUUUAGCGGGGGAAGAUAAUGACGGUACCCGGAGAAGAAGGUCCGGCUAACUCCAUGACAGCAGCCGUGGUAAUACGGAGGGGGCUAGGGUUGUUCGGAAUUACUGGGCGUAAAGCGGACGUAGUGGGUUUGAAGGGUCCGAGGUGAAAUCCCUGGGUUCAAGCUGAGAACUGCCUUUUAAACUGUGUAACUGGAAUUGAGAAGAGGUGACUGGAAUUCCGAGUGUAGAAGUGAAAUUCGUAGAGAUUCGGAGGAACGCCAAUGGCUAAGGCGGCUGACUGGAUGAGUAUUGACGCUGAUGUGCGAAAGCUUGGGGAGCAAACAGGAUUAGAUACCCUGGUAGUCCACUCCAUAAACUAUGAAUCCUAGCCGUC